CAGUAGCCACGGUAAUACGUAGGUCCCGAGCGUUGUCCGGAUUUAUUGGGCGUAAAGCGAGCGCAGGCGGUUAGAUAAGUCUGAUGUGAAAGCCCACGGCUCAACCGUGGAGGGUCAUUGGAAACUGUUAAACUUGAGUGCAGGAGAGAAAAGUGGAAUUCCUAGUGUAGCGGUGAAAUGCGUAGAGAUUAGGAGGAACACCAGUGGCGAAGGCGGCUUUUUGGCCUGUAACUGAAACUGAGGCGCGAAAGCGUGGGGAGCAAACAGGAUUAGAUACCCCUGUAGUCCCUGUCUCUUAUAC
rnacentral:rRNA from 1 species